CCUACGGGAGGCUGCAGUGAGGAAUAUUGGUCAAUGGACGCAAGUCUGAACCAGCCAUGCCGCGUGCAGGAAGACGGCUCUAUGAGUUGUAAACUGCUUUUGUACGAAGGUAAACGCAGAUACGCGUAUCUGUAUGAAAGUAUCGUACGAAUAAGGAUCGGCUAACUCCGUGCCAGCAGCCGCGGUAAUACGGAGGAUUCAAGCGUUAUCCGGAUGUAUUGGGUUGAAAGGGUGCGUAGGCGGUUGGAUAAGUUAGAGGUGAAGUCCCGAGGCUCAACUUCGGAAUUGCCUCUGAUACUGUUCGGCUAGAGAGUAGUAGAGGUAGGCGGAAUGUAUGGUGUAGCGGUGAAAUGCUUAGAGAUCAGACAGAACACCGAUUGCGAAGGCAGCUUAC
rnacentral:rRNA from 1 species